AGUGAACGCUGGCGGUAGGCCUAACACAUGCCAGUCGAACGGCAGCACAGUAAGAGCUUGCUCUUACGGGUGGCGAGUGGCGGACGGGUGAGGAAUACAUCGGAAUCUACUUUUUCGUGGGGGAUAACGUAGGGAAACUUACGCUAAUACCGCAUACGACCUACGGGUGAAAGCAGGGGAUCUUCGGACCUUGCGCGAUUGAAUGAGCCGAUGUCGGAUUAGCUAGUUGGCGGGGUAAAGGCCCACCAAGGCGACGAUCCGUAGCUGGUCUGAGAGGAUGAUCAGCCACACUGGAACUGAGACACGGUCCAGACUCCUACGGGAGGCAGCAGUGGGGAAUAUUGGUCAAUGGGCGCAAGCCUGAUCCAGCCAUACCGCGUGGGUGAAGAAGGCCUUCGGGUUGUAAAGCCCUUUUGUUGGGAAAGAAAAGCAGCAGGUUAAUACCCCGCUGUUCUGACGGUACCCAAAGAAUAAGCACCGGCUAACUUCGUG
rnacentral:rRNA from 1 species